rnacentral:lncRNA from 1 species
AACAUAGGUUUAAAAUUACAAGGGAAUUUAAAAUUACAAAAUAGUCUUUCAAGAAAUUAAAUUACAACUAAACCAAAAUUAAGUUCUUCCAACUUUCAAGCAAAAUUCAAACACAAUUUUGGUUUGUGGUCUGUGAAAAACCUAAUUUUACUUUUACACUUAUAUAUAUAUGUGGGGGUAUUUAGGUAAUUUUAACAUGUUUCGGGUGGGUGUAUGGGUUUCGGGUGUGGGUUNN